rnacentral:lncRNA from 1 species
GACUUCAAUCUGACUUUUGUGAACUUCGUUAUCAGAAAUCCCAGUAGCAGCGGCAGUAAACCGGGGAGAUCUUCUCAGAGUGGGUGUUGGGUUUUCUUGGUCUCUCAAGUUUCUUUGGGGCAUUUUCGCAAACAGAUAGGUGACGGAAAUGAAGUCAGGACACAUACCGACCCGGGAGGGAAAACUUCAGGAUGUCAAAUGUAGGUGACCGCAAUGAAGUCAGGAAAUACACCGACCCGGGAGGGAAAACUUCAGGAUGUGAUGUAUCAAAAUUGUGAGCACCGGGAAAAUCAAGAGGAUUUUACAUAAUACAGCCCUUUAAAGACUUAUUUAUAUUUUUUACAACAGCUUUAAUAAAAUUAUUUUUGGUACAAUUUAUUUUAAAAUCUUGCCUUUUUAUUUAAAUUUUAUACAACUUUUCAUAUCCUAAAAUCUCU